GGUGAAUUUUCCGCAAUGGGCGCAAGCCUGACGGAGCAAUACCGCGUGAGGGAGGAAGGCUCUUGGGUCGUAAACCUCUUUUAUCAGGGAAGAACACAAUGACGGUACCUGGUGAAUCAGCAUCGGCUAACUCCGUGCCAGCAGCCGCGGUAAUACGGAGGAUGCAAGCGUUAUCCGGAAUUAUUGGGCGUAAAGCGUCCGCAGGUGGUUUUGAAAGUUUGCUGUCAAAGCGCGAGGCUCAACUUCGUACCGGCGGUGAAAACUUCAAGACUAGAGUUUGGUAGGGGUCACGGGAAUUCCCAGUGUAGCGGUGAAAUGCGUAGAUAUUGGGAAGAACACCAGCGGCGAAAGCGCGUGACUGGGCCUGAACUGACACUCAUGGACGAAAGCUAGGGGAGCGAAAGGGAUUAGAUACCCCUGUAGUCCUAGCCGUAAACGAUGACAACUAGGUGUUGCCCGUAUCGACCCGGGCAGUGCCGUAGCCAACGCGUUAAGUUGUC
rnacentral:rRNA from 1 species